ACGUACACUCCUGCGGGAGGCAGCAGUGGGGAAUAUUGGACAAUGGGCGCAAGCCUGAUCCAGCCAUGCCGCGUGAGUGAUGAAGGCCCUAGGGUUGUAAAGCUCUUUCACCGGAGAAGAUAAUGACGGUAUCCGGAGAAGAAGCCCCGGCUAACUUCGUGCCAGCAGCCGCGGUAAUACGAAGGGGGCUAGCGUUGUUCGGAAUUACUGGGCGUAAAGCGCACGUAGGCGGAUCGAUCAGUCAGGGGUGAAAUCCCAGGGCUCAACCCUGGAACUGCCUUUGAUACUGUCGAUCUGGAGUAUGGAAGAGGUGAGUGGAAUUCCGAGUGUAGAGGUGAAAUUCGUAGAUAUUCGGAGGAACACCAGUGGCGAAGGCGGCUCACUGGUCCAUUACUGACGCUGAGGUGCGAAAGCGUGGGGAGCAAACAGGAUUAGAAACCCUUGUAGUCC
rnacentral:rRNA from 1 species